rnacentral:rRNA from 1 species
UACGGAGGGUGCAAGCGUUAUCCGGAUUCACUGGGUUUAAAGGGUGCGUAGGCGGGUAAGUAAGUCCGUGGUGAAAUCUCUGAGCUUAACUCAGAAACUGCCGUGGAUACUAUUUGUCUUGAAUACCGUGGAGGUGAGCGGAAUAUGUCAUGUAGCGGUGAAAUGCUUAGAUAUGACAUAGAACACCAAUUGCGAAGGCAGCUCGCUACACGAAUAUUGACUCUGAGGCACGAAAGCGUGGGGAUCAAACAGG